UACGUAGGGGCCUAGCGUUGUCCGGAUUUAUUGGGCGUAAAGAGCUCGUAGGCGGCUCACUAAGUCGGGUGUGAAAUUUCGAGGCUCAACCUCGAAACGCCACCCGAUACUGGUGUGGCUAGAGUCCGGUAGGGGAGACUGGAAUUCCUGGUGUAGCGGUGAAAUGCGCAGAUAUCAGGAGGAACACCGAUGGCGAAGGCAGGUCUCUGGGCCACUACUGACGCUGAGAAGCGAAAGCAUGGGGAGCGAACAGG
rnacentral:rRNA from 1 species